rnacentral:rRNA from 1 species
AUCUUAGCGGCGGACGGGUGAGUAAUGCUUAGGAAUCUGCCUAUUAGUGGGGGACAACAUUUCGAAAGGAAUGCUAAUACCGCAUACGUCCUACGGGAGAAAGCAGGGGAUCUUCGGACCUUGCGCUAAUAGAUGAGCCUAAGUCGGAUUAGCUAGUUGGUGGAGUAAAGGCCUACCAAGGCGACGAUCUGUAGCGGGUCUGAGAGGAUGAUCCGCCACACUGGGACUGAGACACGGCCCAGACUCCUACGGGAGGCAGCAGUGGGGAAUAUUGGACAAUGGGGGGAACCCUGAUCCAGCCAUGCCGCGUGUGUGAAGAAGGCCUUUUGGUUGUAAAGCACUUUAAGCGAGGAGGAGGCUACCUAGAUUAAUACUCUGGGAUAGUGGACGUUACUCGCAGAAUAAGCACCGGCUAACUCUGUGCCAGCAGCCGCGGUAAUACAGAGGGUGCGAGCGUUAAUCGGAUUUACUGGGCGUAAAGCGUGCGUAGGCGGCUGAUUAAGUCGGAUGUGAAAUCCCUGAGCUUAACUUAGGAAUUGCAUUCGAUACUGGUCAGCUA